AAAACAUACACAUGCUCCCGUUCAAAUCUCUCAAUCUCUCUCAAAGGUCUUUUUUCGCCCGUCUCGACCUCCGACACAUGCCUCCUCUCUCUCCAAAACCUCCAACAAAUCAAGGUUAGAUCUUCACAACAGAAAUCUCCAAUCCUUCCUUGACUUGAGAAAUGGAUCGAGAAUCAUCCAACGAAAAAGAAGACGGUCGUAACCUCGUCCGUCCAAAUUCAACAAACAUGACCGACCGCUCCACCUUCCAGAUGGAGAUCGGUGAUCAGAAAUCUGGUGACGCCGUUUGGCAAUGAAUCUCCUGCGUGAGGAUUUCUCGUCAAAACAAUAGGGAAUGCAUCGGAGUCAGUGACGGAAAAUGAGGGCCCUGCAUUCGCCAGUUUCACCUGAAUACAUGCCAGAAAGUUGAUUGAAAGAUGGGAAGAAGUACAAUUGAACGGAAGCUGAAAGCCAGCUGAUACGUGUUCACGAUUUGCAUAUCAGGUAAAUUGGAAGCCACUUGGCCUGAGGGUGCCAAGUCUGAGGAAUGGAAGAAGAGGGUCGUUGAGGAUAUAUUGCACAAGUUUUCUUAUGAUGAUGCAGUUCUUGCAAUUGGUGAUAUGUUCUAUGCUAAAGUGGAGGAAGAAUGAGUGAUGCAGCCAAGUGGCCCACUUGCUCACAAAUGCGAAACUGGCAACCAACCGAGUCGGCUUAUUGUCCUUACGACUUAGAAGUUUGUACAGACUUUCUUGGGAGGGAACUAUAUAGGCCUGCACUUCGGACAGCAUGGAUUUUUGAAGUUUCAAUAUGCUCUCCCAUUUUCUCUGUUUCACAAUUUUAGAUUCUAUGUUGAGGAUAAAUGGCAUUGUCUUGCAUUUAGUAGUUGGAAAUAUUUAAAUCAAGCAUAUGGAUACGGUAGGAUUGUAGGAGACACGAUUUCCACUAGCUAUUGCUACUGACGAGUGGUUGAAAGGUGCUGCCUAUCGACUUUGUUAGUAAUAGGUUGUGACUUUGUAAUGCAAGAGACCAGAAGGUAUGUUUAAACAUUUGUUUUUUGAGUUUUUGAAACCCAUGCGGGGUGUGUAUGUCUGUUCCUCUGGAUAAGCUUUAAUGUACUUCUUUAAAACUCUUCAUGGUAUAGAACUUUUGAGGGUGGGGGUUUUAGACUUUAAGUUAUUGUUUCUAUGUGCCGAAGUUAGCGUAUGCACUGGGAAAAACUAAACCAAUCUUAACAGAUCCUUGCUUGCUUCAAUCUUUGUAGCUGUGCAAAUUUAUAUCUUAUCCCUUUUAAGAAUUGGGUACCACUAUCUAAGAUGAAAGAAGAACCAUGUAACUCCAAAGCUUGAGUGAGUGCAACUCCUACGACUUUGAAGCAAGCCAAGUCUAACUUUUGUUGUCUCAC